UACGAAGGGGGCUAGCGUUGUUCGGAAUUACUGGGCGUAAAGCGCACGUAGGCGGGUCGUUAAGUCAGGGGUGAAAUCCCGGAGCUCAACUCCGGAACUGCCUUUGAUACUGGCGAUCUAGAGAUCGAGAGAGGUGAGUGGAAUUCCGAGUGUAGAGGUGAAAUUCGUAGAUAUUCGGAAGAACACCAGUGGCGAAGGCGACUCGCUGGACAGGUAUUGACGCUGAGGUGCGAAAGCGUGGGGAGCAAACAGGAUUAGAUACCCCGGUAGU
rnacentral:rRNA from 1 species